UACAGAGGUCUCAAGCGUUGUCCGGAUUUACUGGGCGUAAAGAGCGCGUAGGCGGCUCGUUAAGUGUGAAGUGAAAUCUCCAGGGCUCAACCCGGAAACUGCUUCGCAUACUGGCGAGCUGGAGUGACGAAGAGGUUUGUGGAAUUCCUGGUGUAGCGGUGAAAUGCGUUGAUAUCAGGAGGAACACCGAUGGCGAAGGCAGCAAACUGGUCGUCAACUGACGCUGAGGCGCGAAAGCGUGGGUAGCAAACAGG
rnacentral:rRNA from 1 species